GGAUGCAAAACACAGGCUUUCAUUCAGCCUUGGAAAAGGAGAUCCUGGGACUUGUGACAAUGAAGAUGAGCUUGGACACAUUGUGCUCUGUGAGAUAAGCUGGACACAGAAAGAAACAUAAUGCAUGAUCUCAUUUAUCUAUGGGAUGUAGAAACCUGCAUUGGACCAUGGAUUGGAAUGUGGAUUGCAGGGGACACAGGCAUGCACGGAAUCUCCACUAGAAGAGGCGGUGGAAACGUUGACUAGCUUGAUGGCGAACAUCAUGUCACAACACAGAUGAUUUCAAAACAUCAAGUUGAACAACUUAAGUGUGUACAGUUUUUGUUUGUUAUGCCUGAAUUAAACCAAGGACAAGCAAUGGCAGUGAUUAAAUGGGAAAAACAAUAAUGCAGUCAGUAGAAAAAAACUUCCUACUUUCUCAGUAGCGUAUGUUUGUGGUCCGUCAUGUUUGCAUUCCUGGUGAGGGCCUGGUGCAUGCAUGUAAUACAUCUUGAUUCCUCUUCACAUCCCAAUUUCCCUGCCUCCCUCCUCCUUUCCUGUUUGUGGGUCUGAUUUCUUCCUCUUAGCUGACUGUGCUGUCUAAACAUCUGGCUCUACAAUGAGAGUGUGGGGAAGACGAGUGUACUCACUGGUCUUGAUUUUAGGACUAACGUUUCUUGGUUUUGCCGUUCAGCAUGCACUGCUGUGUGUUUGCUGCAUCCGGCCUUUACCAAGGUAGGAAGAUGGGGUGCAGCUGGCCUGGUUGGAAGGGGCCCAGGACGCAGUGCAGCAUGGUUCUUGGGACCCUGCUGAGAUGUCUGGUGAGAAUCCAAGCUGGUCCUUGCUCACAUGACCCUUUGUGCUGUGAGCAUGGGAAACAGGAAAAGGAAAUGACAAGGUGUUGGAGGCUGUAAACCACAUCCUGGCUUUCCUCCCGAUAGCUUGCCUGUGCUCUGAGCUGUGCUUUGAUUUUUAUUGUCCUCCCGUUUUCACUCGACCCAAAUGCGCUCUGCAGAGCACGUGAUCUUCACUCUUAUUUUUAUUUUCAUGCUUCUAAUAAAUGUGAAACUCUGCCACCACUUUAUUUCAUUCAGUUCUUUGUUUGGAACAGAAAAGGACUUAGAAAUCACCUCUACGGGGAGACUCCAGCACCCUACAGCUUGGGAGCAUUUUGUUCAGGGAUUUUAUCAUGAAGGGAUGUUGAAUUUGAUCAAAUGCUUUUUCUGUGUCUAUUGAGAUGGCCAAAGCAAUUUGAACUGCAUAUUGAUAAAUUGCAUUAACUGAUUUGCAAGUGUUGACACGUUUUUGCAUGCUUGGAAUGAAACCAUUCUAAUCUCAGUGUAUGAUUUUUCUUUAUGUGCUGACUUCUAUUUGCUAGUUUUGCUGGGGAGUUUUGUAUCUAAAUUCAUCAGGGAUAUUGGUCUGGAGUUUUCCUUUUUUUUGUUGGGCCUUUUGUCAGAUUUUGGUGUGAUGGUAAUGCUGGCUUCACAGAAUGAGUUUGCAAGGGUUCACUCCACUUCAAUACUUUGAAGUUAUUUUGGAAGCAUCAAUGUUAGUUCUUCUUUAAAAGUCUGACAAAAUUGAGCAGUGUAACUGUCUAGUCCUGAGCUCUUCUUUGCUGGAAACACCUUAUUAUUAACUCAUUUUCACUGCUUGUUACUGAAGUAUUCCUGUAUUUAGUAUCUUCAUGGUUGAAUAUCAGUAUGUCAUAUGUAUCCAGAAUUUUGUUUAGAUUUUCCUGUUUGUUAUUAUAUAGUUUUUCAAGGAAA